rnacentral:rRNA from 2 species
UACGUAGGGUGCAAGCGUUGUCCGGAAUUAUUGGGCGUAAAGAGCUCGUAGGCGGUUUGUCGCGUCUGCUGUGAAAUCCCGAGGCUCAACCUCGGGCCUGCAGUGGGUACGGGCAGACUAGAGUGCGGUAGGGGAGAUUGGAAUUCCUGGUGUAGCGGUGGAAUGCGCAGAUAUCAGGAGGAACACCAAUGGCGAAGGCAGAUCUCUGGGCCGUUACUGACGCUGAGGAGCGAAAGCAUGGGGAGCAAACAGG